rnacentral:rRNA from 1 species
AUUGAACGCUAGCGGCAUGCCUUACACAUGCACGUCGAACGAGUGGCGGACGGGUGAGUAAUAUAUGGGAACGUGCCCAGUAGCGGGGGAUAACUACUCGAAACAGUGGCUAAUACCGCAUACAAUUGGAGCGGCCGAUAUUGGAUUAGCUAGUUGGUGGGGUAAAGGCUCACCAAGGCAACGAUCCGUAGCUGGUCUGAGAGGAUGACCAGCCACACUGGGACGGAGACACGGCCCAGCAUCCUACGGGAGGCAGCAGUGGGGAAUCUUGGACAAUGGGGGAAAGCCUGAUCAAGCCAUGCCGCGUGUAUGAGAAGGCCUUCGGGUUGUAAAGUACUUUUGGCAGGGAAGCGGUAUCUGCAGAAUAAGCACCGGCUAACUACGUGCCAGCAGCCGCGGUAAUAC